rnacentral:rRNA from 1 species
CCUACGUGAGGCAGCAGUGAGGAAUCUUGGUCACUGGGCGCGAGCCUGACCCAGCCAAGUAGCGUGAAUGAUGACUGCCCUACGGGUUGUAAACUUCUUUUAUAAAGGAAUAAAGUGAGGCACGUGUGCCUUUUUGUCUGUACUUUAUGAAUACGGAUCGGCUAACUCCGUGCCAGCAGCCGCGGUAAUACGGAGGAUCCGAGCGUUAUCCGGAUUUAUUGGGUUUAAAGGGAGCGUAGAGGGGUUGUUAAGUCAGUUGUGAAAGUUUGCGGCUCAACCGUAAAAUUGCAAUUGAUACUGGCAGCCUUGAGUACAGUUGAGGUAGGCGGAAUUCGUGGUGUAGCGGUGAAAUGCUUAGAUAUCACGAAGAACUCCGAUUGCGAAGGCAGCCUACUAAACUGCCACUGACAUUGAUGCUCGAAAGUGUGGGUAUCAAACAGGAUUAGAUACCCGAGUAGUC